rnacentral:rRNA from 1 species
CCUACGGGAGGCAGCAGCAGGGAAUAUUGCGCAAUGGACGAAAGUCAGACGCAGCGACGCCGCGUGGGCGAGGAAGGUCUUCGGAUUGUAAAGCCCUUUUCUGGGGGACGAGGAAGGACGGUACCCUAGGAAUAAGCGUCGGCUAACUACGUGCCAGCAGCCGCGGUAAU